rnacentral:piRNA from 1 species
CAUUAGGACUUCGAGUGUGGGUGCUCC